CAAGCGCUUAAGGCUAACGUCCACUAAUUAUUUCUAGAUUUUCAUCUGUCUCUCAAACAGGGUCGACGUUAUAUUCUAUACACGCUCACGGUCUGACCAUUGGAAUCUAUACAGCCUUAAAUUUUUCCGUAAAGUAAACCAUGAAACUGUUGACUGCGACCAUUUCAACUUGUUCUAUUUCCGGAUAACACUUUAAGCUCCCGUUUUAGUAUAAUAACUCUUUUAAGGGAUUAUAACUUGUCGACAUGGAUAAACAGCCUCAAGUCAACUUUGUAAGUGCUCCAUCACCAUGAUUUGUCGCUGUGGUAUGAAAGGAUUGGGAUCAAGUAUGCUAACAGUAAAAGAUAUAUGAUUUUACUUUGACGUUUGAAAUAUCAAAGACGAAUAUUUGAAUGUUAUUUUAUGUAUGUUUGGUUCAUAAUGGUACUUUGUCAAGUGUUAGACCCACAAACCUUCUUCAAAGUUGAAGUCACUAUUGCAGUUAAUUGUUACCACAACCCAGGUCUGGGGAAUAGUGGGGACUUUGACUUUCGGUCCAGCCUAUCCAAGGUAAAAUUCCGCCCUGCAGCGAAGAACUAAUGGUCAAACCAAAUCAAAUGCUCCCACAUCCCGGGAACCCUAGGUAAGGUCCAUUCCAGCUAUAUUUUGCGCGAAGAUAAAACCACAAUACUCACCCGGCACUGCCAGGCCAUCUGGAAGGUAAAAACAUGGCCCAUUUCCCUGACUGCAUGUAUCCCUGGACUGGGUCGGGGCGUGGUUACAAAUGAAUGGUGCAUAACAUUCUAAAUGCAAUGUCAGAUUCACAUUGAGAGAAUUGCUACCAUUUGUCCAAAUAUUAUUUUCAUCAAUUGUGGCAAUGAAAGCAGAUAGAUCAGAUAUAAUGCACAGUAAAGAUUUUCCUUUUCUUUUUGUAAUAUAUCUUGAAGAAUAUCAAAGACUGUGGGAACUGAAAGGUUUUAUACCAAGACUUACAGUCAUAGUUGAUAAUGACAAAGUUAUCAAGUAUUGCAUUAUUCAAAUAUAAUUUCAGGUUAUGCAGGUUGUUGAGAGCAAUUAAUAUGAUGAGGGAAGGCAGGAAAGAGUACCAGUCUUAUAGUCUGUAUGUACUCGUGGCAAAAUGGUGUUCGAGCGUUGGCGAAUAAGGAUUUGCUUGCAGCGUUGAAGAACGAUAAUAUGCAAAGAACAGAAAGAAAGGUUCUCUUAACAUAGAAAGUAAAGAAAUAAUGAAGUUCACACUACAGUUGACAAUAUGGAUGUGUUUCCUUUGUUAUUUGAACAUGAUUUAUUUUAACUUACAUAACAAGUAUGCACUACAAUAAUGAAUAUCUAUAUUAAUAGUAAUGAUAUUCCAUUAAACAUGGAUAUGGAAAAAAUAUUCUUUGACAGUGCAAGAUAAGAUAAAUCCAGACAUAGUUUCAUCCACAUACUUGAAAUUUGUCUUGUAACUACAUGUAUUUUUAUGAGGUUAAGUGGUGAGUAAUCAACUUUUAUAAAGUAAAAUUCUAAAGUACCCGCCAACGUUGGUCGUCCCCGCAUAUCUGUCAAUAAUAGACCAGGGCAUGUUAAACUAUAGGCGGUAUUUCUCUUGGCUCGUUGAACAUAUCGUUAUAAGAAACUUAAUAUUUUUCAUUAUCUGAUUUUUAGAAAAAACAAUGUACUUUUCUCUGUUCGAACGACAUGAAGGCAAACAGCCAACGGUUGUCCGUGACACAAAUAAAUAUCACGCUCUGAUAGAAUGCAGUUAAAUUAUAGACCGAAAAUCUGAAAUAAAUACAGCUUCAAACUCAACUUAUUACAAAAGGUCUUAUAAGGUAAACGGCAUCUUACAUGUAAACAAAUAAAGAACUCGGAUAUGUUGAACAUUUGAAGCGUGGUAGUUUACAUGGCUCUUUUAUCAAUACCAUAAAAACACAAGAAACUUGAUAGUUUUCCUUUGUGCGACUAUACGAAAUCUAUUUAUAUGUUAGAGUUCGAUUUGGUGAUUUACAGAAAAUGGAACGAGUACAGCGAGGCCAAUGUUUAAAUCAUAACAAGAAACUUGAUAGUUUUCCUUUGUGCGAUUAUAAGAAAUCUAUUUAUAUGAUAGAGUUCGAUUUGGUGAUUUACAGAAAAUGGAACGAGCACAGCGAGGUCAAUGUUUAAAUCAUAACAAGUAUCUUGACAGUUUUCCUUUGUGCGAUUUUAAGAAAUCUAUUUAUAUGAUAGAGUUCGAUUUGAUGAUUUACAGAAAAUGGAACGAGCACAGCGAGGUCAAUGUUUAAAUCAUAACAAGAAACUUGAUAGUUUUCCUUUGUGCGA